CGGAGCGGCAGACGGGAGUAACGCGUGGGAACGUACCCCCCCGGUGCGGAAUAACUCAGGGAAACUUGAGCUAACCGGAUACGGCUGAGAGGCGAAAGAUUUAUCGCCGGGGGAUGGGCCCGCGUCCGAUUAUAGUUGGUGUGGUAACGGCGCACCAAGGCGACGAUCGGUAGCUGGUCUGAGAGGAUGAAGCCACAUUGGGACUGAGACACGGCCCAAACUCCUACGGGAGGCAGCAGUGGGGAAUAGGACAAUGGGCGCAAGCCUGAUCCAGCCAUGCCGCGUGAGUGAUGAAGGCCUUAGGGUUAAAGCUCUUUCACCCACGACGAUAAUGACGGUAGUGGGAGAAGAAGCCCCGGCUAACCGUGCCAGCAGCCGCGGUAAUACGAAGGGGGCUAGCGUUGUUCGGAAUUACUGGGCGUAGCGCGUGUAGGCGGGCUUUUAAGUCAGGGGUGAAAUGCCAAGGCUCAACCUUGGAACCCUUUGAUACUGGAAGUCUUGAGUCCGGGAGAGGUGAGUGGAACUGCGAGUGUAGAGGAAAUUCGUAGAUAUUCGCAAGAACACCAGUGGCGAAGGCGGCUCACUGGCCCGGAACUCGCUGAGACGCGAAAGCGUGGGGAGCAAACAGGAUUAGAUACCCUGGUAGUCCACGCUAAACGAUGGAUGCUAGCCGUUGGGGAGCUUGCUCUUCAGUGGCGCAGCUAACGCUUAA
rnacentral:rRNA from 1 species